UUAUACUCUUUAUUUCAAUGUUUAUAUUUACUCUUCCUAUUAUCGUUAAAAAUUUACAUUCAGAAAUAAACCUUUUACUGAUGUAUUCGGUCCCGCGAGAAAAGCAGAGGGACUUUUUAAAUUUAUUUCUCUUAUUUACAUACUCUACACUUCUAUUUACAAUUUAUUUAGCUGUAUCAGAAAUCUUUCAUAAAAUUUAAUGAAUUCACGUUCCCUAUAAAAACAAUUUCCUAGAAUAAAUAAAAUAGUUUUUAUAUCCCAUUGAAAGCUCUUAAUGUGAUUUGAAAGCAAAUCGAUUUAUUUGUUGUAGAAAAAAAAACAAUCUUUUGAUCGAAAAAUACCAAAGAACUCAAAAGUAAGUAAGAACAAUUUUUUAAAAUUAUUUUUAACCUUUGCUCUUCAAAUUAAUAUGCGUUUUUUUUCGGUAUAUGAAAUGAGUGAGAAUUAAUUAUGUUCAACAAUCAAGAGUUUUUAACAAUUUAAUUGAAUUAUAAUCCUUUUCGACUUUCAGCAAUAAUAAUAAUUAGUGUCUUUUUUUAGCGAAAUGCAUACUACGUUUUAUUUUUAUUUUUUUGACUAUCUAGAUUCUAUUUAGUUUGCUUCCAUUCCUGAAAUAAUUAAAUAUCUAUAUAUGAAUAGAUAUUGGAGAUAAUUGUCUUAUCUAGAAUUCUACAAAUAAUGCGAUUAUUAUUCGCUGCUAACGAAUAAAGGAUGUGACUCUCACUAAUGGAAACAAGUUUAUUGUAUCUUUUGAUGAAUGGAAGAAUUUUCUAUCAUUAGAAAAAGAGGAAGAAGAAACAAAAUGUGAAUGAUAUGAAUACUGACUUAUUUUAAACGUGAUAAAUAAUACUUAUAAGCACAACCCUCUUCAAAAUUUAUGUACAACUGUCACAAAACAGACGAACUGCGAAAUAUACAUUGAAAGAAGAUUUUAAAUGAAUUUUUUAAAAAAAAAACUUAACAUUUUUGGAACUUUGCAAUGGCUUUGAAGAUAUGAAAAAUAUUUUAGUCCACUAAAAGUAGAAAUUUCAUCAAGAUUUGUGUUAUUUCCGAAAUAUGCAAAUAAAAAAAUUUAUGAUUAAAGUAUUAGAACAUUCUAAAAUAAAAAUUGUUAAUACAUGUGGAAGAAUCUCUUUGUGAAGACUACUAUUUCAAAAAAAAAUAUUGCUUUUUAUUGUUUAAAAUAUGUAUAUUAUGUGAAAGACUAAUUGGAAAAUCAGGGUCUUUGCAAACAGUUGAUGUCACUUUAUAAGGCUCACUAUAAUAAACCUUACAAAGAA